rnacentral:rRNA from 1 species
AUUGAACGCUGGCGGCAUGCCUUACACAUGCAAGUCGAACGGUAGCACGGGAGCAAUCCUGGUGGCGAGUGGCGAACGGGUGAGUAAUGUAUCGGAACGUGCCCAGUCGUGGGGGAUAACGUAGCGAAAGCUACGCUAAUACCGCAUACGAUCUAUGGAUGAAAGCGGGGGAUCGCAAGACCUCGCGCGAUUGGAGCGGCCGAUAUCAGAUUAGGUAGUUGGUGGGGUAAAGGCUCACCAAGCCGACGAUCUGUAGCUGGUCUGAGAGGACGACCAGCCACACUGGGACUGAGACACGGCCCAGACUCCUACGGGAGUCAGCAGUGGGGAAUUUUGGACAAUGGGCGCAAGCCUGAUCCAGCAAUGCCGCGUGCAGGAUGAAGGCCUUCGGGUUGUAAACUGCUUUUGUACGGAACGAAACGGCGAGCUCUAAUACAGUUUGCUAAUGACGGUACCGUAAGAAUAAGCACCGGCUAACUACGUGCCAGCCGCCGCCGUAA